UACGUAGGUGACAAGCGUUGUCCGGAUUUACUGGGCGUAAAGAGCGCGCAGGCGGUCGAUCAAGUCGAGUGUGAAAGCCCCCGGCUCAACUGGGGAGGGUCAUUCGAUACUGAUCGACUCGAAGGCAGGAGAGGGUAGUGGAAUUCCCGGUGUAGUGGUGAAAUGCGUAGAGAUCAGUAGGAACACCAAUGGCGAAGGCAGCUUGCUGGCAUGUAUCUGACGCUAAGGCACGAAAGCGUGGGGAGCGAACAGG
rnacentral:rRNA from 1 species